UACAGAGGGUGCGAGCGUUGUUCGGAAUUAUUGGGCGUAAAGGGCGCGUAGGCGGCGCGACAAGUCACCUGUGAAACCUCUGGGCUUAACCCAGAGCCUGCAGGCGAAACUGUCGUGCUGGAGUAUGGGAGAGGUGCGUGGAAUUCCCGGUGUAGCGGUGAAAUGCGUAGAUAUGCGGAGGAACACCGAUGGCGAAGGCAAUCCCCUGGACCUGUACUGACGCUCAUGCACGAAAGCGUGGGGAGCAAACAGG
rnacentral:rRNA from 1 species